AACGAACGCUGGCGGCAUGCCUAACACAUGCAAGUCGAACGAGACCUUCGGGUCUAGUGGCGCACGGUUUCGUAACGCGUGGGAACCUUCCCUUAGGUUCGGAAUAACUCCCCGAAAGGGGUGCUAAUACCGGAUAAUGUCUUCGGACCAAAGAUUUAUCGCCUUUGGAUGGGCCCGCGUUGGAUUAGCUAGUUGGUAGGGUAAAAGCCUACCAAGGCGACGAUCCAUAGCUGGUCUGAGAGGAUGAUCAGCCACACUGGGACUGAGACACGGCCCAGACUCCUACGGGAGGCAGCAGUGGGGAAUAUUGGACAAUGGGCGAAAGCCUGAUCCAGCAAUGCCGCGUGAGUGAUGAAGGCAUUAGGGUUGUAAAGCUCUUUUACCCGGGAUGAUAAUGGCAGUACCGGGAGAAUAAGCUCCGGCUAACUCCGUG
rnacentral:rRNA from 1 species